rfam:Cajanus cajan chromosome 2, whole genome shotgun sequence.
AUACCUUUCUCGGCCUUUUGGCUAAGAUCAAGUGUAGUAUCUGUUCUUAUCAGUUUAAUAUCUGAUAUGUGAGUCAUUGACUCACACGAUAUUAAAUUAAUUUUUUAAAGGGGAGGGUCCAAAACACUAGCUUGCUAGUGGGACUCUCGGGCGUCGCCUAUGUCUUGCACUAUUGCAUAGGCCUGGCGCACCCUAC